UAUCUAGUAAACCCUCUUUUAACCAAAUGAUGAGAUAAUUUAUUAAAUUAGUUAAUGAGCUUGAACA
rnacentral:tRNA from 1 species